GACGAACGCUGGCGGCGUGCUUAACACAUGCAAGUCGAACGAUGAAGCUAGAGCUUGCUCUGGUGGAUUAGUGGCGAACGGGUGAGUAACACGUGAGUAACCUGCCCCGAACUCUGGGAUAACUGCUGGAAACGGUAGCUAAUACCGGAUAUGACCAAUGAAGGCAUCUUCUGUUGGUGGAAAGAAUUUCGGUUCGGGAUGGACUCGCGGCCUAUCAGCUUGUUGGGGAGGUAACGGCUCACCAAGGCGACGACGGGUAGCCGGGCUGAGAGGGGGAUCGGCCACACUGGGACUGAGACACGGCCCAGACUCCUACGGGAGGCAGCAGUGGGGAAUAUUGCACAAGGGGCGCAAGCCUGAUGCAGCAACGCCGCGUGAGGGACGACGGCCUUCGGGUUGUAAACCUCUUUUAGUAGGGAAGAAGCGAAAGUGACGGUACCUGCAGAAAAAGCACCGGCUAACUACGUGCCAGCCGCCGCGGUAA
rnacentral:rRNA from 1 species